rnacentral:rRNA from 1 species
GAAUUGUUCGCAAUGGGCGCAAGCCUGACGACGCAACGCCGCGUGGAGGAUGAAGGUCUUCGGAUUGUAAACUCCUGUUGCUCGGGACGAAAAGCUUCGACCUAACACGUCGAGGUCUGACGGUACCGAGUGAGGAAGCCCCGGCUCACUCCGUCCCACCAGCCGCGGUAAUACAGAGGGGGCAAGCGUUGUUCGGAAUUACUGGGCGUAAAGGGCGCGUAGGCGGCCUGCUAAGUCGAACGUGAAAUCCCUGGGCUCAACCCAGGAACUGCGUCCGAUACUGGUUGGCUUGAAUCCGGGAGAGGGACGUGGAAUUCCAGGUGUAGCGGUGAAAUGCGUAGAUAUCUGGAGGAACACCGGUGGCGAAGGCGACGUCCUGGACCGGCAUUGACGCUGAGGCGCGAAAGCCAGGGGAGCAAACGGG